AAAACUAUUCUGAUGCUUAAGAAAUUCCGGAAUAAAUUAUGAUAAUAAUAGAAUAAAUAAUGAUAAUAAUGUGUCUUACUAUAAUUGCAUUUUUAUUAUUCAGGUUUUUAGAUUUCAUCUAGUACGCAUCCAGAAUGUUCCAGCAGGUUGUACGCGCUUUACUUUAAAUUUUCCCCAUCUUAAUUUGUUCUUGAAUGGGCUUUGGCAGUUUUCCUGUUUUUGAUUGAUUACCAGCUUUUCUCUAUUUUUCAUUACUAGCAUGGUUCUUCUAAACGGGGCAGAUUUUAAUAAAUUAUAAUUUUCUGUAAUUUUUAUUACAGCCGUUGUUUUCAAAUGGUUGUCUAACUUUUCUUGCAUCUGAUGUUUACUUGCAUACUCUAACUCAUUUUGCAUUUCUAGCCCUGACCCUAAAAGUCGCCGAGAUCUUCUUAUACAUGCUACUAUUUUCUACUAUGUUCUAAUAUGUUUAUAAUGUUUUUAUUUCUAUUUCUCUAAGCACUAUUUGUUGGAAGACUAAAAAAAAGUUUUGCUCGCUUUCUAUUUACUUGUUUUCAACUACUUGUGUGUAUAUAUGUUAUUAACAAUUUACACAAUUACAUUCCAAGCGGUGACUCUUAUUCACAAGAUUCUGCGGCGUCCGUAGUCGACGUGACAGUCUCGUACGACUUUGGCUGGCGGAAGCGAGGAAACGGUCGAACAUACGAUAGUAAGAGCGGUUAGGGUUCUGUUGGCAGCUUACGCUCUAAGAAACUCUUGGCUUAUGGCAUGAAGAGCACAUGCUGUGCCGUGUGCCGAAAGGGCCACUCACCUGACAGCCAAAAGUGUACCAAAAAUUGGUCAGGGAGUGCGAAAUCCAUGGAGGCAGAUACAGCGGUUUAACUAAUGGUGAAAAAUCCAGAUUUUAAAAAAGCUGGAAUCCGAAUAGGAACACUUAUUGGGGAUGAAGAUUCGUCCACAAUUGCGGCAGACCAACGAGAAACUUCACAUCGAGUCGUCAAGUGGUCGGAUUCCAAUCAUGUGCGUAAAAAGUUUACCGGAAAACUUUAUAAGUUGGCCAACACCCAUCGAAAGCUUGACAGAGGAUCUGUCAUCCCAUAUUUGAAGCGAUGCUUCAAUUAUGCCUUGGACCAAAAUAAAGGAAAUACUGAAGCUACGACGAAAGCUCUAUUAAGCAUUGCCGAGCACAUAUUUGGGAACCAUAGCAACUGCGGCACUUGGUGUGAGGCCAAAGACAAUCCGGAGUACGUGUUUAAGAGUUUACCGAAGGGAAAACCUCUUUUCAGUAAAAAUCUGCAAACUGCACUUCAUGGGGUCUUGAUGGAGUUCACAUCUCGGGUGUUGAAAGUUGCGCCAGGGGGAUCGUCUCAACUCAAUGAAUCAUUUAACCAUAUGGUGGCCACCAGAGCACCGAAGUCCAGACAUUACGCAUCUUCGCGUUCUAUUCUUCUGCGAGUGGCAGCAGCAGUCUGUCAGAAAAAUUUUGGAGCUAAACACAUCAUCGAUGUAAGAUUCGAAGCUGGAUUACCGCCAGGAACGGUAGCUGAAGAAUACCGCCUACGAAAAGAAGUCUUGCAACGAGAAAUAGCUGUAAAACGUACCACAUUCGAAGUAAAACGCCGUCGAUGUUAUUUGAAAAAUAAAAGGCAACGUAUCACCAUAGCACGAGAGAGCAGGGAAGGGAUUACUUAUCAAUCAGGUAUGGGACUGGAUCUUCCUAUCGAAACAACUUGUGAAAUUGAUGAACCUCUCCGUGAAGACAGUCCGCAAGUCAUCGUUGACAUUGAAACUACUGGUCUGGCAUCUACUGCAGACAUCGUUCAAAUAGCGGCGAAGUGUGGCGAUCAGGAGUUCGCACGGUACAUGCUACCUUCCCAAUCUAUAAAUUGUCAUGCAGCAGAAAAAAAUGGAUUAUCACUGGUUGGAGGAGAGCUACAUCAUUACAAUAAGGUAGUGACGACGAUUCCACCACGAGAAGUAGGAGAAGAAUUUAUACGCUUCCUCGGAGAAUGUGGUCCACAGGCGCUGCUGCUCGGACAUAAUAUCGUACGCUUCGAUGCACCGCGGAUCAUGCGUUGGCUACAAGGACCGGUCUCUUGGAAAGUUUUGUCAAAGGUGUUUAUGGAGUGUGCGAUACAAUUCCACUCAUCGGACAAGGUAAAGUUAAAAAACAAGAAGAGCUCGCAAAGUUAUAUUUGAAGGGCGAGGAAUGGGAAAGAAUUAUAGCUGGUUCUCACAAUGCCUUAACUGACUGCCAGAUCCUGUACGGUUUACUAGCUGAUUUCAAAGUAAGCGAUACAGCAAUUACGGCCGGGGCUUUGAGAUUGCAGACUUUACUGCAACGGCAAGCAAUCGCAAAGAAGAAAGCGCAAUUUCUAGAAACUCUUCAGAGAUCUGAUCAUAUGUCGAAGAACAUGAUGUCGAAAAUCGCUGCUGCCGGUAUUAAUAUGAACAGCCUUCGUGAUGCGUUCAAUCGAUCUGGCGCUGACGGUGUCAAACUAUGUUUGGCCGUAAGUGUCAAUGGAAAACCCCGAGUAACAUCGAACAAAAAGAUUAUCGAUAAAGUCAUCGAUUUCCUUGCUUCGUCGAACGAGGAGAGAGGAAUGGAAGUAAGGCCAUCUUCUGCAUCGGAGUCUAACAUUCGCGUUUGCCACAUACUGGGUGUGCUGCCUUGACUGGUAGUGCUAUGCUGGUGCAGCCAAAAGAUAUACACCGUUUGAUGCUCGACAACUGCCUACCUGCUACUGGACAGCCGUCUUUACGCUAAUCAUACUCGCCUGUUCACCGGCUUUCACAGUGUUGUGUUCAUUCCCAGAGAUGCGAUUUUUAUAGCUAUCUUGAUUGUUAAACAGUAAAAACUAAUAAAUAAAAUAUUUUGACGAAUUUGACAUUACAUUACCGACUAUAUUGAUUCCACUCCCGCAUCCUGUUCUUUAUUUCCCUUUUC